rnacentral:misc_RNA from 1 species
UACCCAUGUCGAAGACAACAAAGUAUUU